rnacentral:rRNA from 1 species
GACGAACGCUGGCGGCAUGCCUAAUACAUGCAAGUCGAACGCUGAAGCACUCUGCUUGCAGAGUGCGGAUGAGUGGCGAACGGGUGAGUAACACGUGGGAAAUCUGCCUAUAAGAGGGGGAUAACAUUCGGAAACGGAUGCUAAUACCGCAUAUAUUCUUGGACCGCCUGGUCCUUGAAAGAAAGACGGCUUUGCUGUCGCUUAUAGAUGAUCCCGCGGCGUAUUAGUUAGUUGGUGGGGUAAAGGCCUACCAAGACAAUGAUACGUAGCCGACCUGAGAGGGUGAUCGGCCACACUGGGACUGAGACACGGCCCAGACUCCUACGGGAGGCAGCAGUAGGGAAUCUUCCGCAAUGGGCGAAAGCCUGAUGGAGCAAUGCCGCGUGAAUGAAGAAGGUCUUCGGAUCGUAAAGUUCUGUUAUUAGAGAAGAACAAGUCAAGGAGUAACUGUCUUGACUUUGACGGUACCUAACCAGAAAGUCACGGCUAACUACGUG